rnacentral:tRNA from 1 species
GGCGGCAUAGCCAAGUGGCAAGGCAGAGGACUGCAAAUCCUUUAUCCCCGGUUCGAAUCCGGGUGCCGCCUCCA